GGGAAAGAAAUAGAUACAGUCUAAGCUAAAUACCAGAUAAAGCAGUUAGUUUUAUUUAACCCUGUUAUGUAAAUGAAGGGGCCACUUGAAACAAGAAAAAGGGAGCAA